AGUAAUAUGUCUGAAUUUUUUAGGUAAUAAACUGUAAAUUUAUUUAUGAAUAUUUAAUAUUCUAUUACUA
rnacentral:tRNA from 1 species